AGCUCCAAUAGCGUAUAUUAAAGUUGUUGCAGUUAAAAAGCUCGUAGUUGGAUCUUGGAUACGGGUAUCGCGGUCUGAGCAGUGUCUCUGUACUGCGAUUGCCCUGUCUGUAUUUUCGGAGGCUCGGCGGUGUCCUUGACUGGGUGCCGUCGGGUGCCGGAGUGUUUACUUUGAAAAAAUUAGAGUGUUCAAAGCAGACACGUUCGUCCGCAUAAUUUUGCAUGGAAUAAUGGAACAUGAGUUGGACUCAUUUUUGUUGGUGUUUAGAGUCUAACUAAUGAUUAACAGGGAUAGACGGGGGCAUCGGUACCUCGUAGGGAGAGGUGAAAUUCUUUGAUCUACGGGAGACCAACUACUGCGAAAGCAUUUGCCAAGAAUGUUUUCA
rnacentral:rRNA from 1 species